GGCUGGGGCUCAAGGGUAGAGCACUUGCCUAGCAUGUGUGAGGCACUGGGUUCAAUUCUCAGCACCA
rnacentral:tRNA from 1 species